UACGUAGGGUGCAAGCGUUAAUCGGAAUUACUGGGCGUAAAGCGUGCGCAGGCGGUUUUGUAAGUCUGUCGUGAAAUCCCCGGGCUCAACCUGGGAAUUGCGAUGGAGACUGCAAGGCUAGAAUCUGGCAGAGGGGAGUAGAAUUCCACGUGUAGCAGUGAAAUGCGUAGAGAUGUGGAGGAACACCGAUGGCGAAGGCAGCCCCCUGGGUCAAGAUUGACGCUCAUGCACGAAAGCGUGGGGAGCAAACAGG
rnacentral:rRNA from 1 species